rnacentral:rRNA from 1 species
ACUCAAAGGAAUUGACGGGGACCCGCACAAGCGGUGGAGCAUGUGGUUUAAUUCGAUACUAACCGAAGAACCUUACCCAGGUUUGACAUCGAUCGCAAGGUCCCGAAAAGGACCCCUCCCCCACAAGGGGACGUGAAGACAGAUGUUGCAUGGCUGUCGUCAGCUCGUGCCGUGAGGUGUACGGUUAAGUCCGCCAACGAGCGCAACCCACGUUUUGUGUUACCAGCGAGUAAAGUCGGGGACUCACAAGAGACCGCCGGUGUAAGCCGGAGGAAGGUGUGGAUGACGUCAAGUCAGCAUGGCUCUUACGCCUGGGGCUACACACAUGCUACAAUGGGCGCAACAAAGGGCAGCGAUACCGCGAGGUGGAGCCAAUCCCAAAAAUACGCCCUCAGUUCAGAUUGCAGUCUGCAACUCGACUGCAUAAAGUCGGAAUCGCUAGUAAACGCAGGUCAGCUAUACUGCGUUGAAUACGUUCCCGGGUCUUGUACACACCGCCCGU